rnacentral:rRNA from 1 species
GUGGGGAAUAUUGGACAAUGGGCGAAAGCCUGAUCCAGCCAUGCCGCGUGUGUGAAGAAGGUCUUCGGAUUGUAAAGCACUUUAAGUUGGGAGGAAGGGUAGUAACCUAAUACGUUGCUACUUUGACGUUACCGACAGAAUAAGCACCGGCUAACUUCGUGCCAGCAGCCGCGGUAAUACGAAGGGUGCAAGCGUUAAUCGGAAUUACUGGGCGUAAAGCGCGCGUAGGUGGUUUUGUAAGUUGGAGGUGAAAUCCCCGGGCUCAACCUGGGAACUGCAUCCAAAACUGGCGAGCUAGAGUACGGUAGAGGGUGGUGGAAUUUCCUGUGUAGCGGUGAAAUGCGUAGAUAUAGGAAGGAACACCAGUGGCGAAGGCGACCACCUGGACUGAUACUGACACUGAGGUGCGAAAGCGUGGGGAGCAAACAGGAUUAGAAACCCUAGUAGUCC